rnacentral:RNase_P_RNA from 1 species
GGGGUAGGCAAUCGCGUAAUAUCAUGCCGCAAGGUCUUAUUAUGAGGAAAGUCCGGGCUUCCCAGGGAAAGGAUAACGGAUAACGUCCGCCGAAGGUGACUUCCGGGAAAGUGCAACAGAAAUAAACCGCCCGAUUUUUUCGGGUAAGGAUGGAAAGGCGAGGUAAGAGCUCACCGGCAUGCCGGUAACGGUAUUGCAACUGUAAACCCUAUCCGAAGCAACACCCACAAUCCGUGCAUUCCCUGUUCAUGCAUUUUGCAUGACACGGGUGGGUGGCACUGCGCGCAGCGCAGAAGAGGCAUGGCGACAUGCCCCGCAGAUAGAUGAUUGCCCUCGACAGAACCCGGCUUACAGCCCCGGUCA